GACGAACGCUGGCGGCGUGCCUAAUACAUGCAAGUAGAACGCUGGAGGGGGAGCUUGCUUCUCUGGAUGAGUUGCGAACGGGUGAGUAACGCGUAGGUAACCUGCCUGGUAGCGGGGGGUAACUAUUGGAAACGCUAGAUAAUACCGCAUAAUAGUAUAUGUUGCAUGACAUUUGAUAAAAAGGUACAAUUGCAUCGCUACCAGAUGGACGUGCGUUGUAUUAGCUAGUUGGUGGGGUAACGGCUCACCAAGGCGACGAUACAUAGCCGACCUGCGGGGGGGAUCGGCCACACUGGGACUGAGACACGGCCCAGACUCCUACGGGAGGCAGCAGUAGGGAAUCUUCGGCAAUGGACGGAAGUCUGACCGAGCAACGCCGCGUGAGGGAAGAAGGUUUUCGGAUCGUAAAGCUCUGUUGUAAGAGAAGAACGAGUGUGAGAGUGGAAAGUUCACACUGUGACGGUAUCUUACCAGAAAGGGACGGCUAACUACGUG
rnacentral:rRNA from 1 species